rnacentral:other from 1 species
GUUUUAGCUGCUUAUCCAUUAAAACAAGGAUUGAAAC